rnacentral:sRNA from 1 species
CGGGUCUAACUCCUGGAUGUUACCGUUUCGUUCAGCCGGGGCUGAACGUCGUUUUGGUGUCUGAUUCGGUAAACGAAUCGGGAGCACCAUCUGCGUAGGCUCGGAAUGACUUCCUGUUUAAGGCUUGCGCCGCCUACGGUCUUGGAUAGCCCCCGCCAGGCAGGGACCCCAAUACCUGGCGCGCCGAACGAGUCCGACGC